rnacentral:lncRNA from 1 species
GUCCGUCAUGGCGGCUUCCUGAGCCCCAUGGCUAGGGUUCCGCGUGGGACUUCAGACCAGUGUCAUGGCGGGUAAGAGCCCGGGAGAGGGGGCGGGACCGGGAAGAACCCAGGGAGCAUCUUGGCUUUGAGAGCCAAGCUUACACGACCUUGAAGUCUGAACCCUCAGCCUCAGUUUCCCUUUCUGUAUGGGACGUCUCGGUUUCCGUGCUGGGUGAGGCAGUCCCACUCUGUCUCGGAUUAGGAAGGGAAGGAGAGGCCGGGUUAGCGACUGGCUUCUUCAGAGUGACUGGCCGCUAAUGGAGGAGGUCCCUGGAGCCGCUGACGCCGCCCUGCGCGCGUGGCCAGCCCUUUCCUGCACCUCUGAGCCCUGCGCCCUCCAGCUUCCUGGCGUUCCCUCUCCCAGCUCCUAAGUUUUGAUUGUCCAGUGGGUGUGCAUCCACCUGCCUGGGAGGAGGGGAGUUCUGUCCACCCCGGUAGACUGGUUUGGGGAAUAACAGUGGCUGUAACCCUUGAAGAAUUCUUGGGAAUCCAACUCUGCCGUCUCGGAAUUGCCUAGACGACCUGCCAGCUCCCCUACCGGAAUGAAUUUGCAACAUGAAACCUGGGACUGCUUUUCCAGCAGUACCUAGGAGAAACUGGACACCUCUCUAUACCAUGCAUUUUCUAAGUAGAGAAACUGUCUCAAGGUCUCUAGCCAUCUCCCCGGGACACUUUUCUAUAAACAUGAUCCUGUAGCUACUUACAAGUUACUGAUGAUCCCUGAAAGGGACGGUUGUCACGUUUAAUCCUCACACAGGCCUCAGUGCCUCCCUAUUUCCAGAAUGCUGAUUCCCAGGCGAAACCCUUAAAGGAGGCUCAUGACCUGGGACUUCUCUCUCAGGCCACAUUUCCUGGGAAACCUGCUUCAUUCAUACUUUUAAGUAGACGAAGUCGACCAGAGGUUAGUAGAGAAUUUGUUUUCCACCUAUAUGUUAGACGAUUUGGUCCUCAUAUAAUUCCCACUUACAGAAUGAACAAUGAACAUGCAUCCUCUGAGGUGUAAAUUUGUGUACCAUAACAACACAUUCUAUCCUCUUAUUCAUGGUCAGUGUUCCCAAAGAUGGCAGAGAGGAUUUUUUGGACCAAAACCAAAAGCCAAAUCUUGUCUUCCAUUCAGAACUAGGGGAGCCAGUCUACCUCGAACCAGUAGGUGGUUAGGGCUAGGCUGUGUUUCCUCUGCCUGAAUCAUGUCUGAUUUUUGUUGCCAGUGGUUUUGCUGAAGGCUGAGUACUUCUUUGAUUUCAUUCACAUGAAAUCCCACAUUGGUUUCAUUCCCAGCCCCAGUUCACACCUGCUUACCCGCUUACGUUUUCGCUGGCUUAUCAUGCUGUGGAGGGAAACAAAGCAAACUCGGAGAAGAACUUUCUGGGUUGGCGCCAUUGCCGUUCCCUGGCACUCAUCCAUAUACAAAGCUCCAGCUGUGGGCAGUUAGAGCAUGAAGACAUCUGAAUUAUGAUAAUAAAAUUAAACCGUUUCCAUCUUCCAGUUUGAAAACAAAUGGAGGCUCCUAAGAGUUUGACUCACCGUAAGCACACCAACCACGUAGGAAUUGUCCCUGUAGGCACUGGAGAAGGGCAGGUUUGGGCCAAACACAUGAAACCAACCUCGUGGCAAAGAAGUCGCCGCUAUUUCACACCUGUUGUAAUUCAAAGACUCUGCUCAGAGCUUUUCCCACACCUCACCCCACUCCCACACUCCUGCAAGGUGGCAAUAUGGCUGAUAGAGCAGGUCCAGAGAGGAAAGUGAUUCCCCCCGAGGUCUGUAGCUGGGAGGUGGGGGACCAGAGUUUAUACCUAGUUGCCCAGCUUCGAGGCCCGUCAGACUUCCGCUGGUGCUCUGUGGUGAGGUAGAACAGUUAGUUGGAAGGAAAGCCUUCCUGUUUGCAACCACUGUGGCUUGGAUAUGGUUUCUAAUUGUAGUAUAUAGUUAUAUAGGAAAGUAUUCCUCAGAGACAGGUAAUGAAAGAAUUCAGUAGUAAAAUGUCAUGUUGUCUUCAGUUCACUUUUAAGAGAAUUCAAAGGAGAAAUCAUAGAUGGAUAGAUAGAUAGAUAGAUAGAUAGUAGAUAGUAGGUAAUAUGCUUUACUGGAUAAGAUAGAUAAUAUGUAUUAAUAGAUGAUUGCUAGAUAAUACAUUAUUAAAUAUAUGGUCUCUUAUUAGAUAGAUGGUCUCUUAGAUAGAUGGGUAUAUAUUAUUUGAUAGUCUCCAUUAUUAGGUAGGUGGUCUCUAUUAGGAAUAUAGUCUGUUAUUAGGCAAAUGAUCUAUUAUAUAUAGGGACUCUAUUUUGGGGAGCGUUGUUUGUUUGUUUGUUUUGAUUUCGAGACAGGGUUUCUCUGUGUAGCCAUGGCUGUCCUGGAACUCACUCUGUAGGCCAUGCUGACUUCAGAGCCACAGAGCUCUGCCUCAGCCUGAGUGCUGGAAUUAAAAGCAUCUACACCACCACCGCCCAGCUGCGUGUCUAUUAUUAAACAGACAAUCUCUACUAUUAGAUAGAUGGUCUCAGUAGUAAGUAGAUGGUCUCUACUAUUGAGUAGAUAGUCUUUUAUUAGGUAGAUGUUAUAUUAUUCAUAGAUAGAUGUUCCCUAUUAUUAGGUAGAUGUUAUAUAUUCUUAGAUAGAUUGUGUAACUACACAUAACAAAGUGCUAGUUUUCCAUCAAUCCAAGCGGUGGAUAUACCAUGUUUACCGUGCGGUUUCCCCAGCUUUCUUGGCUGCUUGAAAAGUGCAAGUAGUACAGACCUGUUAUCCCACUAAGAUCACAAACUCAAGCUUGUCUGAAAUACAGAAUAAGUCAAGGCCAGUCUGUCUCAAAAUAAAAACAUGGCUGAGAUAUAGCUUAGUGAUGGAGAGCUUGCCAAGCCGGUGCAAGGCCUUGGACGGAUCCUCAGCCACAGAAGAGACAUGGGGGGGGGGGGGGGGGCAGGGCAGUAUAAAGGGUGUCAUCCAGGAAGAUGUUCCAGGCUUCCCUUGGCCACCUGGACUUGUUCUUCUGUCUCAGGUGCAUCCCAGGAAUAGCAUGGGCCCAGCCAUGGACGAGGUCACCUUCAAAAGUGACACUGUGCUGUCAGAUGUCCACCUGUACACCCCCAACCAGAGGCACCUCAUGGUGCGGCUGAAUGGCAUGGGGCAGCCAGGUAAGAUCCGGGUCUGAGUGGAGCAACUGGCUGCCUGCUGGGGCCCUUUAUCAUCUUCUUCUUCUUUUUUUUUUUUUUACAUACUUCUUUUGGGGGAAACCUCUUCUUUUUUAAAUCAAAACUUCAUUGCAAAAACUG